CGAGUCCCAAAUAGGACGAAACGCGCUUCCUGGAU
rnacentral:hammerhead_ribozyme from 1 species